AAGGGUAUAGCUCAGUGGUAGAGCACAUGCUUAACAUACACAGGGUCCUGGGUUCAAUCCCCGGUACCUCCA
rnacentral:tRNA from 1 species